UACGUAGGGGGCAAGCGUUGUCCGGAUUUAUUGGGCGUAGAGAGCGUGUAGGCGGCCAGACAAGUCUGCUGUGAAAACUCGAGGCUCAACCUCGAGCUGUCGGUGGAAACUGUCUGGCUAGAGUCCGGAAGAGGAGAGUGGAAUUCCUGGUGUAGCGGUGAAAUGCGCAGAUAUCAGGAAGAACACCUAUGGCGAAGGCAGCUCUCUGGGACGGUACUGACGCUGAGACGCGAAAGCGUGGGGAGCGAACAGG
rnacentral:rRNA from 1 species